UAGUCCACGCCGUAAACGAUGAGUGCUAACUCUGGGGAUUUCUCUGGGGUAAAGCUAACGCGUUAAGCACUCCGCCUGGGUAGUACGAUCGCAAGAUUAAAACUCAAAGGAAUUGACGGGGGCCCGUACAAGCGGUGGAGCAUGUGGUUUAAUUCGAUGAUAACCGAAGAACCUUACCCUCUCUUGACAUAUAUAUUGAGGUUACAUGAAAGUGGACCGUCAUUUAGUUGGAUAUAUACAGGUGUUGCAUGGCUGUCGUCAGCUCGUGUCGUGAGAUGUUGGGUUAAGUCCCGCAACGAGCGCAACCCUUGUCUUUAGUUGCCAUCAUUUAGUUGGGCACUCUAGAGAAACUGCCGGUGACAAACCGGAGGAAGGUAAGGAUGACGUCAAGUCAGCAUGCCCCUUACGCUCUGGGCUACACACGUGCUACAAUGGUCGUGACAAAGAGUUGCUAGUCUGCAAGGCAAGCCAAUCUCAUAAACGCGCCUUAGUUCGGAUUGCAGG
rnacentral:rRNA from 1 species